GUGUCAGCAGCCGCGGUAAUACGAGGGGUCCAAGCGUUGCUCGGAAUCAUUGGGCGUAAAGCGAGUGUAGGUGGCUUUGUAAGUCAGGAGUGAAAGCCCUGGGCCUAACCCAGGAAGUGCUUUUGAUACUGCAGAGCUUGAAUGUGGGAGAGGAUCGUGGAAUUCCAGGUGUAGUGGUGAAAUACGUAGAUAUCUGGAGGAACACCGGUGGCGAAGGCGGCGAUCUGGCCCAACAUUGACACUGAGACUCGAAAGUGCGGGGAUCAAACAGGAUUAGAUACCCUGGUAGUCC
rnacentral:rRNA from 1 species